rnacentral:rRNA from 1 species
GACGAACGCUGGCGGCGUGCUUAACACAUGCAAGUCGAACGGAAAGGCCCUGCUUUUGUGGGGUGCUCGAGUGGCGAACGGGUGAGUAACACGUGAGUAACCUGCCCUUGACUUUGGGAUAACUUCAGGAAACUGGGGCUAAUAUCGGAUAGGAGCUCCUGCUGCAUGGUGGGGGUUGGAAAGUUUCGGCGGUUGGGGAUGGACUCGCGGCUUAUCAGCUUGUUGGUGGGGUAGUGGCUUACCAAGGCUUUGACGGGUAGCCGGCCUGAGAGGGUGACCGGCCACAUUGGGACUGAGAUACGGCCCAGACUGCUACGGGAGGCAGCAGUGGGGAAUAUUGCACAAUGGGCGGAAGCCUGAUGCAGCAACGCCGCGUGCGGGAUGACGGCCUUCGGGUUGUAAACCGCUUUCGCCUGUGACGAAGCGUGAGUGACGGUAAUGGGUAAAGAAGCACCGGCUAACUACGUG